CGAAUUGCCUGGCCAUAUGACCUUCAAUGCAGUUUCUUCUUCACCAGUAAAAUCAGAUUGUAGCCUCCCCAGGUCAAAAAAAGACCAACCAACAGAAUCACUAACUGCUCAAGAAGAAGAUGACGCUUUUUGUUUAUGUUGGUGGCGAUGAAGGAAAAGAUUCUAAGAAAACGGUGAGACUUGAGUUAAAGCGCAGGUACGGG
rnacentral:misc_RNA from 1 species